GACGAACGCUGGCGGCGUGCUUAACACAUGCAAGUCGAACGGAAAGGCCCUGCUUUUGUGGGGUGCUCGAGUGGCGAACGGGUGAGUAACAAGUGAGUAACCUGCCCUUGACUUUGGGAUAACUUCAGGAAACUGGGGCUAAUACCGGAUAGGAGCUCCUGCUGCAUGGUGGGGGUUGGAAAGUUUCGGCGGUUGGGGAUGGACUCGCGGCUUAUCAGCUUGUUGGUGGGGUAGUGGCUUACCAAGGCUUUGACGGGUAGCCGGCCUGAGAGGGUGACCGGCCACAUUGGGACUGAGAUACGGCCCAGACUCCUACGGGAGGCAGCAGUGGGGAAUAUUGCACAAUGGGCGGAAGCCUGAUGCAGCAACGCCGCGUGCGGGAUGACGGCCUUCGGGUUGUAAACCGCUUUCGCCUGUAACGAAGCGUGAGUGACGGUAAUGGGUAAAGAAGCACCGGCUAACUACGUG
rnacentral:rRNA from 1 species